rnacentral:RNase_MRP_RNA from 2 species
CAGUCAGUGGAAGAAGUGAUUGGGCCAUGGGCUUGUCAAAGCUCGGGCCCUGGAAAGUCGCCGGGCCACCAUUCCCGCAGAGAUGCGGCCUCGGUAACGAGCGAGUCUUGUGCUUGGAGAAGACAUAAUCGGGCUGAGACACGUGUAUGGAGCCUGUCUCUCAAGCCAAGAUAUUAUGGCCAAUUUAACAGUAAUUCACUUCCCUAACGGGACACAACAGAACGGGGCUUACUUCCACUGACA